UAAUACGAAGGCUACAAGCGUUAUCCGGAUUUAUUGGGCGUAAAGAGCGAGUAGGUGGUUUGGUGCGUCUGUUGUUAAAUGUCUCCGCUUAACGGGGUCACCGCAAUGGAAACGGCCAAACUAGAGAGUGCUAGAGGCAAAUAGAACGCACGGUGUAGGGGUGAAAUCCGUUGAUAUCGUGCGGAAUACCAAAGGCGAAGGCAUUUUGCUGGGGCAUUUCUGACACUCAAUCGCGAAAGCGUGGGGAGCAAAAAGGAUUAGAUACCCUUGUAGUCCACGCCCUAAACGAUGCACACUAGUUGUUUCGAGU
rnacentral:rRNA from 1 species